rnacentral:misc_RNA from 1 species
UAGAGUUUUUACAACUCCCAACCCUUUGUGAACUUUGUUCUCUAUCUCUGCUUCGACAGGUGGUCCCAGGGCGGGACCAGCGCCAGUCUAACCAGACAGGCACCUGUCAGAGGUGGAACAAGACUCUGUUUUUAUUGAGUAUCUGAGUGGUUUAUAAAAUAAGUUA